rnacentral:rRNA from 1 species
GACGAACGCUGGCGGCGUGCUUAACACAUGCAAGUCGAACGGAAAGGCCCUGCUUUUGUGGGGUGCUCGAGUGGCGAACGGGUGAGUAACACGUGAGUAACCUGCCCUUGACUUUGGGAUAACUUCAGGAAACUGGGGCUAAUACCGGAUAGGAGCUCCUGCUGCAUGGUGGGGGUUGGAAAGUUUCGGCGGUUGGGGAUGGACUCGCGGCUUAUCAGCUUGUUGGUGGGGUAGUGGCUUACCAAGGCUUUGAAGGGUAGCCGGCCUGAGAGGGUGACCGGCCACAUUGGGACGGGGAUACGGCCCAGACUCCUACGGGAGGCAGCAGUGGGGAAUAUUGCAAAACGGGCGGAAGCCUGAUGCAGCAACGCCGCGUGCGGGAGGACGGCCUUCGGGUUGGAAACCGCUUUCGCCUGUGACGAAGCGUGAGUGACGGUAAUGGGUAAAGAAGCACCGGCUAACUACGU